GAUGAACGCUGGCGGCGUGCCUAAUACAUGCAAGCCGAGCGAACGGACGAGAAGCUUGCUUCUCGGAUGUUAGCGGCGGACGGGUGAGUAACACGUGGAUAACCUACCUAUAAGACUGGGAUAACUUCGGGAAACCGGAGCUAAUACCGGAUAAUAUUUUGAACCGCAUGGUUCAAAAGUGAAAGACGGUCUUGCGGUCACUUAUAGAUGGAUCAGCGCUGCAUUAGCUAGUUGGUAAGGUAACGGCUUACCAAGGCAACGAUGCAUAGCCGACCUGAGAGGGUGAUCGGCCACACUGGAACUGAGACACGGUCCAGACUCCUACGGGAGGCAGCAGUAGGGAAUCUUCGGCAAUGGGCGAAAGCCUGAUGGAGCAACGCCGCGUGAGUGAUGAAGGUCUUCGGAUCGUAAAACUCUGUUAUUAGGGACGAAAAUAUGUGUAAGUAAAUGUGCACAUCUUGACGGUACCUAAUCAGAAAGCCACGGCUAACUACGUG
rnacentral:rRNA from 1 species